UCGAGCGGGGGAAGGUAGCUUGCUACUGGACCUAGCGGCGGACGGGUGAGUAAUGCUUAGGAAUCUGCCUAUUAGUGGGGGACAACAUCUCGAAAGGGAUGCUAAUACCGCAUACGUCCUACGGGAGAAAGCAGGGGAUCUUCGGACCUUGCGCUAAUAGAUGAGCCUAAGUCGGAUUAGCUAGUUGGUGGGGUAAAGGCCUACCAAGGCGACGAUCUGUAGCGGGUCUGAGAGGAUGAUCCGCCACACUGGGACUGAGACACGGCCCAGACUCCUACGGGAGGCAGCAGUGGGGAAUAUUGGACAAUGGGCGCAAGCCUGAUCCAGCCAUGCCGCGUGUGUGAAGAAGGCCUUAUGGUUGUAAAGCACUUUAAGCGAGGAGGAGGCUACUUUAGAUAAUACCUAGAGAUAGUGGACGUUACUCGCAGAAUAAGCACCGGCUAACUCUGUGCCAGCAGCCGCGGUAAUACAGAGGGUGCAAGCGUUAAUCGGAUUUACUGGGCGUAAAGCGCGCGUAGGCGGCUAAUUAAGUCAAAUGUGAAAUCCCCGAGCUUAACUUGGGAAUUGCAUUCGAUACUGGUUAGCUAGAGUGUGGGAGAGGAUGGUAGAAUUCCAGGUGUAGCGGUGAAAUGCGUAGAGAUCUGGAGGAAUACCGAUGGCGAAGGCAGCCAUCUGGCCUAACACUGACGCUGAGGUGCGAAAGCAUGGGGAGCAAACAGGAUUAGAUACCCUGGUAGUCCAUGCCGUAAACGAUGUCUACUAGCCGUUGGGGCCUUUGAGGCUUUAGUGGCGCAGCUAACGCGAUAAGUAGACCGCCUGGGGAGUACGGUCGCAAGACUAAAACUCAAAUGAAUUGACGGGGGCCCGCACAAGCGGUGGAGCAUGUGGUUUAAUUCGAUGCAACGCGAAGAACCUUACCUGGCCUUGACAUAGUAAGAACUUUCCAGAGAUGGAUUGGUGCCUUCGGGAACUUACAUACAGGUGCUGCAUGGCUGUCGUCAGCUCGUGUCGUGAGAUGUUGGGUUAAGUCCCGCAACGAGCGCAACCCUUUUCCUUAUUUGCCAGCGAGUAAUGUCGGGAACUUUAAGGAUACUGCCAGUGACAAACUGGAGGAAGGCGGGGACGACGUCAAGUCAUCAUGGCCCUUACGGCCAGGGCUAC
rnacentral:rRNA from 1 species